rnacentral:ncRNA from 2 species
CGCCGUCAAGGCGAUGGGGUUCGCCUGAAACCGCCCGACGCGUCGGGCUGAUGACCCCUACCGGAGU